rnacentral:rRNA from 1 species
AGAGUUUGAUCAUGGCUCAGGAUGAACGCUGGCGGUCUGCUUAACACAUGCAAGUCGAACGAAUCCUUUCGGGGAUGAGUGGCGGACGGGUGAGUAACGCGUGAGAAUCUGCCUUUUGGUCGGGAACAACCACUGGAAACGGUGGCUAAUACCGGAUGUGCCUUUAGGGGUGAAAGAUUAAUUGCCAGAAGAGGAGCUCGCGUCUGAUUAGCUAGUUGGUGAGGUAAAGGCUCACCAAGGCAGCGAUCAGUAGCUGGUCUGAGAGGAUGACCAGCCACACUGGGACUGAGACACGGCCCAGACUCCUACGGGAGGCAGCAGUGGGGAAUUUUCCGCAAUGGGCGAAAGCCUGACGGAGCAAUACCGCGUGAGGGAGGAAGGCUCUUGGGUUGUAAACCUCUUUUCUCAAGGAAGAAAAAAAUGACGGUACUUGAGGAAUAAGCAUCGGCUAACUCCGUGCCAGCAGCCGCGGUAAUACGGAGGAUGCAAGCGUUAUCCGGAAUGAUUGGGCGUAAAGCGUCCGCAGGUGGCAAUUCAAGUCUGCUGUUAAAGGUCGGGGCUCAACCCCGAAAUGGCGGUGGAAACUGAAUAGCUAGAGUGCGGUGGGGGCAGAGGGAAUUCCUGGUGUAGCGGUGAAAUGCGUAGAGAUCAGGAAGAACACCGGUGGCGAAAGCGCUCUGCUAGGCCGCAACUGACACUCAUGGACGAAAGCUAGGGGAGCGAAUGGGAUUAGAUACCCCCGUAGUCC